UACGUAGGUCGCAAGCGUUGUCCGGAUUUACUGGGCGUAAAGAGCGCGUAGGCGGCUGGUCAAGUCCGAUGUGAAAUCUCCCGGCUCAACUGGGAAACUGCAUCGGAAACUGAUCGGCUUGAAGAUGGGAGAGGGUAGUGGAAUUCCCGGUGUAGUGGUGAAAUGCGUAGAUAUCGGGAGGAACACCAGUGGCGAAGGCGGCGACCUGGGUAGAUACUGACGCUGAGGCGCGAAAGCGUGGGGAGCAAACAGG
rnacentral:rRNA from 1 species